UAGAAUAAGCCAAAAACAACGCAAACGAUUCAAUACAGAGGAAUCGGCCCAAUCAGCCCUUUGUUUGGUAGAGGCUGACUCACAAGGUGCCCUCUGAAGUGCUGAACGUAAACCAUAUUUCGUGCAGCGAAUGAAAGCUACUUCUGAGCUACUUGAUUUGAUAAAAUUCUCGAAAAAUACUAGGGAUGUCGAAUUUGAAAGAAAGGUACCCUGAACAAGCCAAGCUGGGAAACGAACAAUCCGCCACAACCCAAACUGCGAGGUGAUAGUCACAAUCCCCUCCGUGGUUUGCCCCGUUCCUUGUCCCCGUUAAACAUUAGAAACAAGAGGCCUUGGGUUGACUUCCAAGUAUUCAAAACUUGUGAGCUCGUUGUGAAGACUUGGCGCCAAAUAGAAACCCCCCCUUGCUAUUUAUUCGAGAUCUUGGGAGGACUUCGUUCCGAGUUUUCAUUCGCGUGUGUCCCCACCAACGACGGAAGUGAAGAGGCGUGAUCACCCAUGCAGGACCUCAUUUGAAUAGAGCAUGACGGACUCGCUCGAAGGCCCCAUGAUUAAAACAUGAAUUCCGUUCUUGAUUAGUCCAGGAAAACUUUGGAGGAACACCAUGUUACAUCAUGGUGUGGAAGCUGGCCCACGGCUGUUCAUUCAAAGAGAGCCUCAUUCCCAUCAACCUGAUCCAUCCAAGCCACGGGUAACCAACGGGCUGUGCUCAUAGAUUCUUGUGAAUCACGCUUUAAGAUGAAGGACUCUAAAGCUCUAGAAGCGUUAAGCGUUAAGGGUGGAACACUGUGUUCUUCCACUAGCCCAAGGCGGUGUGACCAUAGGGUAUAAAAUCAUCCUUCCCACCUGGACCUGGAGGUUGGAACCUAUUCUAUGGUGGUACUGAACUCAUCAGGGACCCGAUCCCACAUCCCAUACACUGCCGGCUUCCCUUACUUCAAUCCGCAUCGGGAAUUCUCCCGUAAAGGGUUCGGGUAAUGGAAAAGUACCCAACUAACCCUGGCCUCUACCUUUCCAGUCUCUUGUCCACGAAUUUCAAAAAUACAAUACUGAA